CAGUAGCCACGGUAAUACGGAGGGAGCUAGCGUUGUUCGGAAUUACUGGGCGUAAAGCGCACGUAGGCGGCUUUGUAAGUCAGAGGUGAAAGCCUGGAGCUCAACUCCAGAACUGCCUUUGAGACUGCAUCGCUUGAAUCCAGGAGAGGUGAGUGGAAUUCCGAGUGUAGAGGUGAAAUUCGUAGAUAUUCGGUAGAACACCAGUGGCGAAGGCGGCUCACUGGACUGGUAUUGACGCUGAGGUGCGAAAGCGUGGGGAGCAAACAGGAUUAGAUACCCCCGUAGUCCCUGUCUCUUAUAC
rnacentral:rRNA from 1 species